rnacentral:sRNA from 1 species
UGACUGCGAUGAGGGCAGCGCGUUGCUCU